AUACAUGCAAGUCGAGCGGAGCACUUCGGUGCUUAGCGGCGGACGGGUGAGUAACACGUAGGUAACCUGCCUAUUAGACUGGGAUAACUAUCGGAAACGAUAGCUAAGACCGGAUAACUGGUUUUCUCGCAUGAGAGAAUCAUGAAACACGGAGCAAUCUGUGGCUUAUAGAUGGGCCUGCGGCGCAUUAGCUAGUUGGUAGGGUAACGGCCUACCAAGGCGACGAUGCGUAGCCGACCUGAGAGGGUGAACGGCCACACUGGGACUGAGACACGGCCCAGACUCCUACGGGAGGCAGCAGUAGGGAAUCUUCCGCAAUGGACGCAAGUCUGACGGAGCAACGCCGCGUGAGUGAUGAAGGUUUUCGGAUCGUAAAGCUCUGUUGCCCUAGACGAAUAGCAAGGUGAGUAACUGCACUUUGUGUGACGGUAUAGAG
rnacentral:rRNA from 1 species